GGCCAUUCUCCAUUGGCUCAGCCGGGCUCCAAAGUGUCUCGGCCAUGGGAACCUGCUGGGAUCCUCCAGAAUUCUGUGCCACUGCCCACUCAGAUCCUUAUGCACACCCAAUUCUGCAUGGGCUAGGGCUCCCAGUCACCAACCCCAUCCAAAAGCGGGGUCCCUGCCAGGGGAUCGGCAAGGCUUGGUGCCCACCGUGUCAUCCAACAGCGCACUCCAUCACUGAUAACCCAGAAUUGUGAAAAAGAUCCAAUUCCUGAGCCCUAAAGAUCUGUCAAGUCGUUUCAUAGGCUACAUUAAGACUUGCUUCUUUAACUUGAAAUUCACGUCUUCUUUUCUCAAGCCCAUAGCACUGAGUGCCCUAAAUUAAAUAGGUUCUUGGAAAGGGCUGUUGAUGAAUACAACUGCUGAUUGCCCCUGGGAGAAGAGCAGGAAUCGCCCAAGAUCCAGGACCUUGCAUGGAGAGAAGCCGAGAUCUGCUACUGCUCAAGCCAGGUACUCUUACAAACGUCACUUUACAGAUGAAGAAAUGGAGGUUUAACUACUAUCCCCCAGGUCAUGCGGCUGUCGGACCCUGAAGCAGAGAUUUGUAUCCAAGGG